UUGUCCAAUGUUUAUUCAAACAAGGUUGGGGGUGAACCUAAAGGAGAUUGAAGAAUCUCCUCCAACCCCGUGUAUGGGUUGUUUUGUUUCUUUCCUGAAGCUUCCUGUAAGAGGUUCUUUUGAAAAGUUCCCACUCGCCAAAUUGAACAAGUAUCUGUACCUACAAAAAAAGCCAACCAGGAACCUGGAGAAGAUGUGGGGAUGGUGGUAAUCCAAAGAAGGAGCCUUAACCUGAGCCUCUGCCUUAGGAGACAGACCCACCCCCACCCCCUGCCCUAGUGGGAGUGAGUGUCACCCCAUAGCCUGGGUCCUCUGAUACUGUCUCAGGCACCACCUUGGUUGCACAUGUGCCCUCCAGGCCUACCACAGAUAGAUGCCCCACCCUCUAACCCAAUAUCCCUUGGGAUUAGCCUCUGGACUCCUGCCUCCCUCGCCCACCUGGAUGGCAGGCCCAUACAGAAGCAAAACAUAGUCACCUUAGACUCUGGCGUACUGAGUCCUAACCUUCCUGCCAACUGAUUUCUCAAUAAAGAUGUUGUUAAAUAGAA